rnacentral:rRNA from 1 species
AUACGGAGGGUGCAGCGUUACUCGGAAUCACUGGGCGUAAAGCGCGCGCAGGCGGGCUGAUAAGUUGGAUGUGAAAGCCUACGGCUCAACCGUAGAACUGCAUCCAAAACUGUCAGUCUAGAGUGUGGGAGAGGAAGAUGGAAUUAGUUGUGUAGGGGUAAAAUCCGUAGAGAUAACUAGGAAUACCAAAAGCGAAGGCAAUCUUCUGGAACACUACUGACGCUGAGGCGCGAAGGCGUGGGGAGCAAACAGAAUUAGAUACCCCGGUAGUCC